rnacentral:rRNA from 1 species
CGAGACUCAGUGAAAUUGAACUCGCUGUGAAGAUGCAGUGUACCCGCGGCAAGACGGAAAGACCCCGUGAACCUUUACUAUAGCUUGACACUGAACAUUGAGCCUUGAUGUGUAGGAUAGGUGGGAGGCUUUGAAGUGUGGACGCCAGUCUGCAUGGAGCCGACCUUGAAAUACCACCCUUUAAUGUUUGAUGUUCUAACGUUGGCCCGUAAUCCGGGUUGCGGACAGUGUCUGGUGGGUAGUUUGACUGGGGCGGUCUCCUCCUAAAGAGUAACGGAGGAGCACGAAGGUUGGCUAAUCCUGGUCGGACAUCAGGAGGUUAGUGCAAUGGCAUAAGCCAGCUUGACUGCGAGCGUGACGGCGCGAGCAGGUGCGAAAGCAGGUCAUAGUGAUCCGGUGGUUCUGAAUGGAAGGGCCAUCGCUCAACGGAUAAAAGGUACUCCGGGGAUAACAGGCUGAUACCGCCCAAGAGUUCAUAUCGACGGCGGUGUUUGGCACCUCGAUGUCGGCUCAUCACAUCCUGGGGCUGAAGUAGGUCCCAAGGGUAUGGCUGUUCGCCAUUUAAAGUGGUACGCGAGCUGGGUUUAGAACGUCGUGAGACAGUUCGGUCCCUAUCUGCCGUGGGCGCUGGAGAACUGAGGGGGGCUGCUCCUAGUACGAGAGGACCGGAGUGGACGCAUCACUGGUGUUCGGGUUGUCAUGCCAAUGGCACUGCCCGGUAGCUAAAUGCGGAAGAGAUAAGUGCUGAAAGCAUCUAAGCACGAAACUUGCCCCGAGAUGAGUUCUCCCUGAGACUUAGAGUCUCCUGAAGGAACGUUGAAGACGACGACGUUG